rnacentral:rRNA from 1 species
UACAGAGGUCUCAAGCGUUGUUCGGAUUCAUUGGGCGUAAAGGGUGCGUAGGCGGCUCGGUAAGUCGGGUGUGAAAUCUUGGAGCUUAACUCCGAAACUGCAUUCGAUACUGCCGUGCUUGAGGACUGGAGAGGAGACUGGAAUUUACGGUGUAGCGGUGAAAUGCGUAGAUAUCGUAAGGAAGACCAGUGGCGAAGGCGGGUCUCUGGACAGUUCCUGACGCUGAGGAACGAAGGCCAGGGGAGCAAACGGG